rnacentral:tRNA from 1 species
GGAGGGGUGGCCGAGUGGUUGAAGGCAACCGCCUGCUAAGCGGUUGUACUCCUGUUAAGGGGGUACCCAGGGUUCAAAUCCCUGCCCCUCCG